GCAGCGUCCGCUUGGAGAGAGAGACUCACCUGUUCACCAGAAGGGAAAUUUGUUGUUUUUCGUGUGUAGAGCUGCAGGAGUUUGACGGCCUGUCGCCACAUGAUGUGUAUCUGAGUUAGUACAGAGAUAAAGUGUUGUAAGUAUAUUAAUGGGCUGUAUGAUUUCAUUUCAUAUUAAUGUACUAAUGUUUCAUAUACUGUGGAAAUAACUGUAUGUGAAUUUUGUUUAUUUCUUUUAUUUUGUUUAGCAGAAGAGCUACCGCUACAGUUGUUCAUGCAUUUUCAUGCAUUAUCAUAUAUUUUCGUGUAUUUACAUAAAAUUGUUCAUGAGUUGUUAAUGCACUGGCAUUAGUGCACUUUGAGUCAGAAACGUUGUUUACCGAGAUAGGUGAAAUCCUUUGAGUUUUGAAGAGUAAGAUAUUACUUGAAGUGAGGCUCUUCAUGCCUGAAGAUGUCCAUUUUUGUUUGUGAAUGAAAUCUUUGUUAAACCUAAACCAAAUUGAACUCUCCAAGAUAAUUUAAUACUACUCUCUUGUUUUUUUUAAAAGAGUAUUCGGAGAAAUAAAGAUCCCGUAAAUUAGUUUGUGUCCUGGGUUAUUUUAAAUUUGACCAGGCUACAUACCAUUUAAGUUUUUUCUGUUUAAACCUGCAAACCAGAAGCAUCAGUACUAUAUAUUCAGGCAUGCAUUUUGUACCAUAAAACAAAAUUAACACUUGAAUAUUUUCUGUAAAUGCAGGGACAUUUGGAAAAUGUUACAUGUCAGUGAGUAAUCACAUAACUGUAAAGCAAAGGUGAUCUGACUCUGCAGAUAUAAUAACACUGAACAGACUCUUCUAUUGGCUCCAGUUAGACCAAAAAUGAUGCUUCAUAUGUUUGAUUCUAUGCAAACUCAGUGAGCUUCCUUGUUACUCAGCUAUAAAAACAUCACAUCAGGCUGUCAGUGGAGUUCACAGCACGUCAGUUUCAACAUAAACCAUGUUCUCUGUAGCUCUGCUGCUGCUGUUGGCAGCUGGAUGUUUGAAGUGUGAACAGUUGACACAGCCAGCCUCUGUGACUGUGCAGCCAGGUCAACGUCUGACCAUCACCUGUCAGGUCUCUUAUUCUGUGAGCAUCUAUAUCACAGCUUGGAUCAGACAGCCUGCAGGGAAAGGACUGGAGUGGAUCAGUAGUGACACCACUGUCAAGGAUUCACUGAAGAACAAGUUCAGUAUCAGCUUAGACUCUUCCAGCAAGACAGUGACUCUAAACGGACAGAAUGUGCAGCCUGAAGACACUGCUGUGUAUUACUGUGCCAGAGAGCCACAGUGACACAAAGCAUCAGUAGACCUGAACAAAAACCCCUCAGUGCCUGAACACUUGUAACAUGAAGCCACCAGAGGAGGAGCCCUCAGACCACUAAUGAUUUCAACACCAGCUCACAGUUACAGUACAGAGAGAAACAGUCUUUAAUAGUUCUUAAAUAAAUCUCUUCUUUUUAAUCUUCCAUAAAAUUGUUACUAAAAUAAACAAACAAAAAAUGCAGUUCUUAUCUGAAGCAUAACUGCAUUUGUGACUGACUACAUUAUAGUCUUGAGCCAAAGAGUCAAACUACAGAAAAGUUUGUUUUCAUUGACAAUCAGAAAUUUUGUCAGAAAUUCCAGUUCCAUCUUCUCUUUGUGUGAGAUGCACCUUCGUGACUAAACAACUGGUAUAGUUUACAAGCCAGCUUAUUCCUUGUCAGUCAAGAAUCGCUUCACCAUUUCCAGAGACAACAACGUGGACCAGGUGUAUCUGCAGAUUCUGCUGUUUAUUAUUGUGCUCGAGAGCCACAGUGACACAGGAAGCCACAGAGCUGUACACAAACCACUGAAAAUGCCACUGCAACAGUCACUAAUAGAAAGUGCUGUAAAACCACCCCAUGCAAGAUGUUUUUAAACA